rnacentral:rRNA from 1 species
CCUACGGGAGGCAGCAGUGGGGAAUAUUGCACAAUGGGCGAAAGCCUGACGCAGCGACGCCGCGUGAGGGAUGAAGGUCUUCGGAUUGUAAACCUCUGUCAGCAGGGAAGAACGGUCACUGUGCUAAUCAGCAGUGAAUUGACGGUACCUGCAAAGGAAGCAUCGGCUAACGCCGUGCCAGCAGCUGCGGUAAUACGGAGGGUGCGAGCGUUAAUCGGAAUUACUGGGCGUAAAGCGCUCGUAGGCGGUAUGUCAAGUCAAGGGUGAAGUCCCCGCGCUCAACGUGGGAACUGCCUUUGAAACUGGCAGACUGGAGUGUGUGAGAGGAAAGUGGAAUUCGAGGUGUAGGGGUGAAAUCCGUAGAUAUCUGGAGGAACAUCGGUGGCGAAGGCGACUAUCUGGCACAUAACUGACGCUGAGGAGCGAAAGCGUGGGUAGCAAACAGGAUUAGAUACCCGAGUAGUC